ACACACACACACACACACACAGUCGCACAGUCACCUCCCUGCGGAACACAACAGUCUUUUGGAGCUCCUCGAGGUGGCCGAAGACUGUGUACUGUGCGCCCCUCAACACACCUGCUACAUACGCUGCACACCUGCUGCUACAUAUCUGCUACACACCUGUUGACCUGGCCAUAGCAGAUUGGUUCAUUUGUGGCGCCCUGCAAGAUGAAGGGGCUAAUUCUAACACGGAGGGCGUGGCGAAGGGCGUGUCCAGCCUCUACAUACACGUGGGCGUUGCUGCUCGGGGUGUGGGCGGCGUGGGGUGCGGGGGAGGUGCACGCCGCCCCCCACCCACACCCAGACUCACCAGACUCUCCCGAGACCCCCGAGGUAGCCCCCCCGCCCCCCCAACAAGGGUCUUCGUCGCCUUCGUCAGGUAACGCCCUCGGUAUGCUGUUGCUGCCUCCCCGCACCCCCAUAGUGGUGGUGGCUGGGGGGCGAGGCAGCACCGCGGAGGACAUCAUGAACAUAUACCUGCCUGUUAUUAUGGCUGAGAUGAAGGCGCCGGUGUCCACGAGAGACCCGUCCAUCAUCAGAGUAGCGGGGUGCAGGCCAGGAUUUAACGAGGACCCCCUGGGAGCCUGCCGCCCUGUGUUCGUGCCCCGGGCUUACCUCCCCCGCACUUCACGCCCCAACAGGCAGACCAACAUCGCCAGCCUCCUCCCAGUAAGACCCCGGCCAAGAGUCCCACGGCCCCAGCCACAGACCCAGCGGGACCUCAUACGCCAGUUCAACACCUCUAGGAGAAGACAGACGUGGUUUGGCCGCAGUCUGUCUCCUUCCCCGUCCCCUGUGGAGGAUUCUCAGGACGUGCUAUCAGGAAGGAGUCUGUUGCAGGAAGUUGAGAGUGCUGAUAGUGGUGUUAGUGCUGAUGACAGUGCUAGUUUGGAUGUUAGUAUGGAUGUUCACACCACUACGCCUGAUUCCACGACGGAGUGUGAUGAUUAGGUGUGUCUGUGUGUCUGUGUGUUGGUGUGAGGGAAAGAGAGAGAGAGAGAGAGGGAGAGGAGUGAGGUUUUUGAGUGAGAGGUUCAGAUUUAUAUUGCUCUCUUUUAGUGUGUGUGUGUGUGUGUGUGUGUGUGUGUGUGUGUGUGUGUGUGUGUGUGUGUGUGUGUGUGUGUGUGUGUGUGUGUGUGUGUGUGUGUGUGUGUGUGUGUGUGUGUGUGUGUGUGUGUGUGUGUGUGUGUGUGUGUGUGUGUGUGUGUGUGUAGCUCUUCUUAAGAUCACCACAAGUUGCCAAAUUUUUUAUUAAGAGGUAUUGUAUUCAGUUGCCAAUAACUGUGUGUGUGUGUGUGUGUGUGUGUGUGUGUGUGUGUGUGUGUGUGUGUGUGUGUGUGUGUGUGUGUGUGUGUGUGUUAUGCCCUAAUAAAUGCUCCAUAGA